rnacentral:rRNA from 1 species
UCUGUGCUUGCACAGAAUGAUUAGUGGCGAACGGGUGAGUAACACGUGAGUAACCUGCCCUUGACUUCGGGAUAAGCCUGGGAAACCGGGUCUAAUACCGGAUACGACCUCCUGGCGCAUGCCAUGGUGGUGGAAAGCUUUAUGCGGUUUUGGAUGGACUCGCGGCCUAUCAGCUUGUUGGUUGGGGUAAUGGCCCACCAAGGCGACGACGGGUAGCCGGCCUGAGAGGGUGACCGGCCACACUGGGACUGAGACACGGCCCAGACUCCUACGGGAGGCAGCAGUGGGGAAUAUUGCACAAUGGGCGGAAGCCUGAUGCAGCGACGCCGCGUGAGGGAUGACGGCCUUCGGGUUGUAAACCUCUUUCAGCAGGGAAGAAGCGAAAGUGACGGUACCUGCAGAAGAAGCGCCGGCUAACUACGUGCCAGCAGCCGCGGUAAUACGUAGGGCGCAAGCGUUAUCCGGAAUUAUUGGGCGUAAAGAGCUCGUAGGCGGUUUGUCGCGUCUGCUGUGAAAGCCCG